GACGAACGCUGGCGGCGUGCUUAACACAUGCAAGUCGAACGGAAAGGCCCUGCUUUUGUGGGGUGCUCGAGUGGCGAACGGGUGAGUAACACGUGAGUAACCUGCCCUUGACUUUGGGAUAACUUCAGGAAACUGGGCUAAUACCGGAUAGGAGCUCCUGCUGCAUGGUGGGGGUUGGAAAGUUUCGGCGGUUGGGGAUGGACUCGCGGCUUAUCAGCUUGUUGGUGGGGUAGUGGCUUACCAAGGCUUUGACGGGUAGCCGGCCUGAGGGGGUGACCGGCCACAUUGGGACUGCGAUAGGGCCCAGACUCCUACGGGAGGCAGCAGUGGGGAAUAUUGCACAAUGGGCGGAAGCCUGAUGCAGCAACGCCGCGUGCGGGAUGACGGCCUUCGGGUUGUAAACCGCUUUCGCCUGUGACGAAGCGUGAGUGACGGUAAUGGGUAAAGAAGCACCGGCUAACUACGUG
rnacentral:rRNA from 1 species